rnacentral:rRNA from 1 species
UACCAGCACCCCGAGUGGUCGGGACGAUUAUUGGGCCUAAAGCAUCCGUAGCCGGUUUUGCAAGUCUUCCGUUAAAUCCAGCCGCUCAACGGAUGGGCCGCGGAGGAUACUGUAGAACUAGGAGGCGGGAGAGGCAAGCGGUACUUAGUGGGUAGGGGUAAAAUCCACUGAUCCACUGAAGACCACCAGUGGCGAAGGCGGCUUGCCAGAACGCGCUCGACGGUGAGGGAUGAAAGCUGGGGGAG